rnacentral:rRNA from 1 species
GAUGAACGCUAGCGGCAGGCUUAACACAUGCAAGUCGAGGGGCAGCACGUCUUCGGAUGGUGGCGACCGGCGCACGGGUGAGUAACGCGUAUGCAAUCUACCUUUUACAGGGGCAUAGCCCGGGGAAACCCGGAUUAAUAUCCUAUAGUACCAUUAUAUAGCAUUAUAUUAUGGUUAAAGUUUCGGCGGUAAAAGAUGAGCAUGCGUCCUAUUAGCUUGAUGGUAAGGUAACGGCUUACCAUGGCUAUGAUAGGUAGGGGUCCUGAGAGGGAGACCCCCCACACUGGUACUGAGACACGGACCAGACUCCUACGGGAGGCAGCAGUGAGGAAUAUUGGACAAUGGGCGCAAGCCUGAUCCAGCCAUGCCGCGUGCAGGAAGACGGCCCUAUGGGUUGUAAACUGCUUUUAUACGGGAAGAAACACCCCUUCGUGAAGGGACUUGACGGUACCGUAUGAAUAAGGAUCGGCUAACUCCGUGCCAGCAGCCGCGGUAAUACGGAGAU